rnacentral:rRNA from 1 species
CCCUUAGAUGUCCUGGGCUGCACGCGCGCUACACUGGAAGUUACGGAUUGAGAUACUACCUUGUCCGAAAUGGUCCGGGUAAUCACCUAAAAGCUUGUCAUAAUUGGAAUGGAUUAUUGUAACUAGUAAUCCUGAACGAGGAAUUCCUAGUAAGUCCCAGUCAACAGCUGGUACUGAUUACGUCCCUGACCUUUGUACACACCGCCCGUCGCUACUACUGAUUGGACGUUUAAGCAAGAUUUUUAAACACUGACAGUGUGUAGUUCACGCUAUACUACAGUGAGAAGAAGAAGAUCGAGCUUACUUGUCUAGAGGAAGUAAAAGUCGUAACA